rnacentral:snRNA from 1 species
GGACGGCAAGGCAAUCUGGUUAUGAUGUUUGUCCUGGAACUAAUUUUUAAAUCACUUCGGUCAAUCUGACUGACUAGGCAGGGAUCACCCUCAUGCCUUAGCUAUCCAUGUUAUUCUUCCCAAUGCUAUGUGCUUUGGUUGAAAAAGAUAGUCUUCUCUUAUACAGAAAUGGAUUCUUAGGUCAAGAAUCAAUAAGCAGAUACAUUCCCUUCCUGAGGCUCUAAACAAAUGCUCAAAGUCUUUCUGUAAGAGAAUAUAAUGUCACAAAUAUUUUUCUCUGGCCUGUCAAGCAAUAAGGUACUUUUACUGUUUU